UUUUCUGAUUUAAUAAAUAUAAAAUAGGACACACAGGAAAUUCAACAAACACUCUCAGACCUCCCCAGGUUUCUGAGGCAAUUCUAGAGCAAAUUCAUCAAGUAUAACAUCAAAAUUCCCACCUUCUCACUAAAAAAACAAAAAAAAAAAAAAAACAAAACAAAAAAUAAAAACAAAACAUCUAAAAACCCAACCUCUAUGGACUAGCACCAAAGAGAGAUUUAUAAAUCUCCUAAAUACAACUUCAGUCCAGUUCAGUUUCUUUUUCACCAGCUACACCUUAGUUCUGUACAGACCCCUGACACUACCCCAGCACAGCACUCCAGGAUCUCCGCAGCCCAGAGCAGCUGGAUUCGUUCAUCCCAAGGGCAGGAAAAUGAGGAUCACGCCCUGUGUGUGUCAGGGGCUCAGGGAGCAGCUGAGGGACACCCCAGCCACGAGGUCACCACGUCCCCGAAGGGCUGCAGCCACCAGAUGAUGCCAUUACUGAGGAGAAGAGAGGCAGGAGGGAAAACCCAGCCUGGCACUGGGUCAGCCAGAGGGAAAAAAAGCUCCUCACAGUGCAACAGUCACUGCUUGGGGCAGGUUUGGCUGAGGAUGCAGCUCCAUCCCCACCCCAAACCAACCCCUCACACCAAGCCCCAGUGCUCCCCGUAUGCUCUGCACAGGGAUGGAUGCUGCAUCUGGCUGUGAGAAAACACAAACAUGUUAAUUUGGGAUAAAACAGAGAGAAUGGGCAGGCAAACCCACAGCUCUGGAACAAGGGUGGACCUGUGCAGCCUGCAGGGUUUAGAUCCCUGCUCGCUGUGGAAUGCUGAACAGCUUCUGCAUGGAAAAGCUGAGCCCAAAGCCCCUGCUGGAUCCGGGAAGGGAACUGAGGAUUCCUGACAUUCCCUACCCACAGUUUUAGCCACCGAAUACUCUGUGGCCACACAAGGGAAAAGCAACACUUGCAGAUUCCAACCCCUUUUCAUUUUUCCCUUUACAGAGUUUGCUUUAAGGCACAUUCCAGCUCAGGCUGAACGAGCUGCCUCAGUGCUCCACAGGAGAGCAGGAAGAGCUCACAGCAUCCACCUACACUGGGACAGAACUGGUGGGAAUCCUGAUACUGCUGCUCCUUCCAGCCCCAAACGCAGCUCCCAGCUUCCCCCCAGCACCCAUGGGUGACAGGUUUGGGUGCUGCCUCCCCAGCACCCAUGGGUGAGGGACUGUGCAGCCCUCAGGCUUUGCCCCCUUCCACGCUGCUCACACCCCAAACCAGCAUUCAAAACCUGCCAGGACGGGAAUGUCUGGGGACAUUCUGCUGUACCCAGCUCCCACAGUGCCCUGAGAGCACAGCCACACUGAGCCAGCUGAGAACUGCUCCCAGGGGAUGCUGAGACACACACUGACACCCCACACAAGGGGCAGCUGAGGUCAGAAUCCACCAUCCAACACUCCCAGCACCGGUUUUAGCACAGCUGGAGCCCCAGGCUCAUCCCCUGGGACUCAGCACAGCUCUGUGGAACCAGAGCC
rnacentral:lncRNA from 1 species